AUCCUUUACAGUUUACCUCUUGGCUCUUGCAGUUUUGCAUGACUAACACUCUUGUAAUAUUCUUACAGUGAAUAUCCUUUAUAGUUUGACGCAAAUCUUCUCUCUACUCUUCUAGGCGAUUUUUGCACCUCCCCAAAAACCACCGUCUUCAACAAUUUUCUAGCCAGUAACCACCGUGAGCGGUGGUUAUCAAAUCGAAAUCUAUCCGUAAAACUCUUCAGUAAAUCGAUUUCACACAUAUGACUGAUUGAGAGAAAUACCCAUUAUAUUCCUUUCUUCAUGAUUCAAUCCAGCAACUGCUUCUUAGAGCUAAAGUUACAAAAGACACCAAACCCUAAGUUACAAUUGAAACCAAAGACUCAAGUUACAGAAGACAAUAGUUUAUACAAAUCAUAGACUCAAAAGACUCAAUUUUCAAAAGCUUCAGACUCAAAAUACCAAUUCUUUAGUUCUGGGAUUCAAAGAAGUUUUUUAGAUCCUGAUACCUUCAGAAUCGAGUACAAUUUGCUACAACUGGAAAAAAAAGGAAAACUGCUGAGAAAACCAUGGAUUCAAGGAACUACACAAACCAGUCUGCUGACAAACUAAAAUAAAUCAAUCAAGUAUUGAGAAGAUAGAUUUAGAAUCUAACCAGGCCGGUGACUUGUUUUGAUUACAUCCAAUGAAAGGCUUGUCAAGCUACAAAGAGGUUCAAUGGAAGGAUAGGUGGAAUUGAUUGGCUAAAUAUUCUACCAUCUGUUUUAUGGUUCAUUUGGAGGAGAAAAAAUGAAUGGAUCUUUAAGAAGAUUGUGUUUAAGAAAAAAUGAAUGGAUCUUUAAGAAGAUUGUGUUUUAGCUAGGGAACUAAACUAGGCAAAGGAAUAUUUCAAUGUUACUAGUUAACAAAGACAAGUGAAGACACAAUUGUUGAAGUUCCAGUCCCGUGGGUAUACCCACGAAGUAGCUUUUUCAAGCUUAACUGUGAUGGAUCAUCUAAUAAUAUAUGCAUGGAUCAAAUUGGUGGCAUUAUUUGAGAAUAUCAAGGUGGUUUUCAGGAAUCAUAUGCUAACUAUAUUUUCAAGAAUAAUAACAAUGUAGCCGAGGUUUGGGCGAUGAGGAAUGAUAUGAUGUUUUAGCUAAUGAAAUUGGAGUAAAGAAGUUAGAGGUGGAAAGUGACUCAUCAUAUGCAAUUUAAUUAUGUAAUAAGGAAAUCCAUAUUCGAAGGAGUCUUCGAUCGCUUAUAGAAAAUACCAAUGAUCAAAUCCAGAUUCCAAGGAGUUUUCGCUCGCUUAUAGAAAAUACCAAUGAUCUCAAGAUGAAUUUUGAAGUUAUCUCUUUUCAACAGAGAUACAGGGAAGCAAAUUCAGUCGCGGAUUACCUUGUUAAAGGAGGAGAUGCCAAAGAAAUUGAGGGGGUUCGGAUUUCACAACCACCUGAUUUGAUCAGGAAUUUAAUUAGUGACAAUUUAGCUGGUAGAGAUGAUAUCAUAUGUGUCAGAUUUCUUUGUUAGUUGUUUCGGUCUAUGACCAAUGCAGCAAAAGAAAAAAAAACAACCCAAAAAUUUAUA